UUUUGGAGGGCAAGUCUGGUGCCAGGAGCCGGGGUAAUUCCAGCUCCAAUAGCGUAUAUUUUAGUUGUUGCAGUUAAAAAGCUCGUAGUUGAAUUUCGGGGUCAGAAGAUUCGUCGUGCCACAGGUAUGAACUGGUCUCACUGAUUCCUCCUUCCUGAUGAACCGUAAUGCCAUUAAUUUGGUGUGGCGGGCAGACUGGACUGUUACUUUGAAAAAAUUAGUGUGUUUAAAGCAGGCUAACGCUUGAAUACAUUAGCAUGGAAUAAUGAAAUACGACGUUCCGUCUUAUUUAGUUGGUUUGUAAGAUUGACGUAAUGAUUAAUAGGGAUAGUUGGGGGCAUUAGUCUUCAAUUGUCAGAGGUGAAAUUCUUGGAUUUAUUGAAGACUAACUACUGCGAAAGCAUUUGCCAAGGAUGUUUUCAUUAAUCAAGAACGAAAGUUAGGGGAUCGAAGACGAUCAGAUACCGUCGUAGUCUUAACCAUAAACUAUGCCGACUAGGGACCGAAUGAUGUUAAUUUUUAAAUGACUUAUUCGGCGCCAAAGGGGAAACAU
rnacentral:rRNA from 1 species